rnacentral:rRNA from 1 species
GAUGAACGCUGGCGGCGUGCCUAAUACAUGCAAGUCGAGCGAACGGACGAGAAGCUUGCUUCUCUGAUGUUAGCGGCGGACGGGUGAGUAACACGUGGAUAACCUACCUAUAAGACUGGGAUAACUUCGGGAAACCGGAGCUAAUACCGGAUGAUAUUUUGAACCGCAUGGUUCAAAAGUGAAAGACGGUCUUGCUGUCACUUAUAGAUGGAUCCGCGCUGCAUUAGCUAGUUGGUAAGGUAACGGCUUACCAAGGCAACGAUGCAUAGCCGACCUGAGAGGGUGAUCGGCCACACUGGAACUGAGACACGGUCCAGACUCCUACGGGAGGCAGCAGUAGGGAAUCUUCCGCAAUGGGCGAAAGCCUGACGGAGCAACGCCGCGUGAGUGAUGAAGGGCUUCGGAUCGUAAAACUCUGUAUUAGGGAAGAACAUAUGUGUAAGUAACUGUGCACAUCUUGACGGUACCUAAUCAGAAAGCCACGGCUAACUACGUG